UGUCCCGUUGUGUAAUGGUAGCACUACAGAUUUUGGUUCUGUCUGAAUAGGUUCGAAUCCUGUCGGGACAA
rnacentral:tRNA from 1 species